UUUUUUUUUCUUCAGGUAUGUAUACUUAUAUAAUUAACUGAUCAGUCAUGAUAUCAAUAAAUACAAUCCUAAAUUCGAGUUCUGUUCAACAGAUAACUAUCUGGAGUGUCGACAGAAGCUGCCACUGGCUCAAAACCAGACGGAUUUGGCAUCAGAGGUCGAAGACCCAACAACAUACCGGAGACCCAAAAGAAAAAUCAAUCCUCCAAAGAAACAGGCCUUCCCAAUCCUCCCUGAGGCCCCUGCUAUCGCUGGACCGUCCAACUUCAGGCGCUUCAUACUAGCGCAGCCCACUCAAAGUGGGUGUUAUGAGGUCCCUGUGAACAAUGAGCAGCCUCAGGGUUUUCAGCUCUUCUGCGUGACCUGUUGGUUAACCAACAAAUACUGAUGGACCAGCAAAAGACCAUGAUUCGGAUGAUCCAAGACCUCCACAGAAACAGCCAGGGAGGUCAGAGGAUGUCCACCACCUCCAGGCAUACUGCCUAUUUUCCACUAGUGGAUAAACAGGCUCUGGAGGCCCUGGAGGGCGACCUGGCAAGCCAGCGGGAACUUCGUCAAGAAUUGGGGGAGCUGAUGCCAAAGAUACUGUGUGGCGCAUUUUGAAACAGGCCAUCAAAAAUGACCUCGCCAAGAACAUCUCAUGGCGGGGGAUGAAUGGAAAGAUUUCAUUUGAAAAUCUACACCUGAAGGCAGUAGUGAUGGAUGCAGUGAGGCGCAAUCCAUCCUGCUCAACCGCAACAGAUGUGCAGAUUGGGGAUGCCAUCAAGAGAUGGUUUUACUGGGCUGGGGAUCGGGAGGGAGGGAGGAAAAAACGCCAGCCGGCUCCAAACCAGGAGCAAACUGUUUUGGAUUAAAUCUAA